AGGGGUGGUGGAAUUCCUGGUUGUAGCAGUGAAAUGCGUAGAUAUCAGGANGAACACCGNCUGGCGAAGGCCGCCCCCUCGGCCAUGACUGACNCUCAUGCACGAAAGCGUGGGGAGCAAACAGGAUUAGAUACCCUGGUAGUCCACGCCCUAAACGAUGUCUAUUAGUUGUUGGGUCUUCAUUGACUUAGUAACGAAGCUAACGCGUGANNUAUACCGCCUGGGGAGUACGGCCGCAAGGUUNAAACUCAAAGGAAUUGACGG
rnacentral:rRNA from 1 species